rnacentral:misc_RNA from 1 species
UUGAAAAGAGCGGCCCUCCCCCGGGUCGCUGCGUAUCGCAGCGGCGAGAACUCACGUGAGUCCCGUACGAGAGGAAAAGGGAACGAUGGCGACGAAAAUAAUCAGCGAGGACAAGACAGAUGAGACCAGUGUGCGCAUGCCCGUUUGUCUUGGAUUCAUUUGAUUCUUCGAACCGCAUCAUUUGUUGUUUUCCAACCGACGGUGGCUCCACCUGCCUUCUCUCGCUCCCUCUCCUUCUUUCGCGUGCACACGGGCAACCAUGUUCGUGCGCCCUUCACGGCCGUACGUGCACGGCACCGGUGCGUGCGUGUUUGCCCACCUGCCCUCCCCCUCUCCCAGCGGCCACGCUUGUCUCAUCCCGCCUUCUUUACGUUUUUUUUUUCAAAGAGACUGCCAGUCGACAUGAGAACGGCCACCGUUCUUGGUGCCGGAGAGCUGGGUAAGGCGUGCGCCUGCGCCCUCGCAGCAAACCACAGCGUCGACUCCGUCACCCUUUUGACGCGGGACGCUGCUAUGGCGGCACCGGAGAAAGCGAACGCGACGCUGUCUUCGACGUACAGCGGCGAUCUAGCGAACUUUUCAGGCGCAGAGGGCAGCUCUACCGGUGCCUCUUCGUCACCCGCUGCACCCUCAAGCAUUACCGCAACUCCAUGGCCGUCUGUCGUUCACCUGCAGGACUUGAAGCAAUUCUGCCGCGACGCCGCAUCCGCGAUAAACCGCAAGCGGGCCCAGCACCCUCUGUUCUUGUGCACUCCUUGUGCGUCGUACCUGCCUGGGCAUGAUGCAUGGGCGCGCGCCGCGUUCGGGAACGAACACUGCCCAGCGACCCAUGAUGUACUCACCCGGUGGCGCUCCUCGCCGGCUGCGAUUGCGUCGUUGCAAUCAGAACCAGCGCCUUCCAAUGGAUUUGUCGUGGUGUUCACACGAGGCUUCGCCGCUGAUGGAGCGGUGCCAGCGCAGCUUGCGGAUGCGCUUCUAAACGGUCCCCUCGCAGAAGAUGCCAGUUCAGCGGCGCCGGACUCACUAUCCGAAAUCGAGACGCCGGUGUUGGUGGCGUCGGGCCCGGUGCUGGCGAAGGAGUGGUCUCUGCAGUCGACGCCGCUGGCAUCGAGCGGGGCAUCUGCGACUCUUUCUUCGCUCAUUUCAUCCAGACCCCCAAGCGCACUGCCGGUGGCUGCCGGCGCAGACGGUGGUGCCGGCGAAGGUGGAACGAGGGCGGCACUUUCGUCUGCGUCAGGCAGGGAGCUUCCUCAUGCCUUUUCCGGCGUGGCGCUCACAUUCGCCGCAUGGACACCAUCCAUUGCCGCUGAUGCCGGCCGGCAAGAGGCGCUCGCAGAUCAGCUUCGCAUCUUUUUUCCUCGCGAGUCCGUCACCUACUUGACCGCCCCUGACGCAGCCGCCAUCCUGGCCAUUGUGAAUGGCUGCGUGCCGCUCUGCUCUUUCGGAGCUGGCUUGGUGAGUAGCGUGUACACGGGCACGAGCGUGACGUCCCUGGCCGCCUACGCCCAGCACGCCGUCGCGGCCACAGAGCAACUCGUGAACAAGCUCUUGGGCCAUGCAGCCGGCACGCCGCUGCCGCUGCCAGCCGUGUCCACGCUCUGGUGUGCCUGCACGUGUCUUGUAUCGCGCGAAUUUGCUCUUGGCCGCAAGCUGGACUUCUACUUCCGCAAGCAAGAUGCCGCUGAGGCGAUCUUCCGUGGCCACGAGCACCACCUCUUCGCGGCGACAGUCGACGGUCUUCACGAGCGCAUGCAGACUAGUGGCGUUGCCAGCCCAUUCUACGAGGUGCUCAUGGACACCUACAACACCAUGAUUCGCGCGUCACGGGCAGGCGAGGGGCUGGUGAAGGAGGGCUACUACGGCUAUCGCGAUACGCUCGGUGAGGACAGUGGCGAGCUGCUGCGGCAGGUCACGGGCGUGGAUGAGGCGAUGCUCUCCGGCGACGAGGCGCGCUUCACGGAAGCCAAGGAGCGCAUAAUGAAGGCAUUCGCCGGCUCGACCUUUUGAGCAGGUCGCUAUAAGUGCAAUAAGAGGAGGGCGAGAGCAGAGCAAGAGGGAGCAGAAAAAACGGAGGUCGUGCAAAUAGCUGAAAGGGCAGCAGUGUGCGUCUCCCUCCAUUCCAUUGAUCUGCAUACAUUCUGCUCGAUUGCGAAAGGGUGCGGAGGGGGAGCGGGGAGGACACCCCUCUCCGCGCGUGGCAUCGCAGGGCGCAGUACACCCCUCCCCCUCCCCACGCUCUGUGUGGGGGAAGCUAUGCAGCCCCCACCCCCUAUCCCUGCCAACGCCGAGCCACUUCAGGUGGUGAAAACUUCACGCACCUCGGACAUGGCGGAGGGCGGGAGGGUCAGAGCGAUGUACCGCCACGCAUGCCGGCGGUCAGGCUGUGGACAUUGUUGCGCUGGAGAGGCCAGCGACGGUGCGCACGCUUCUGCCAUCCAUGCGAUAGGCGACGUGUCCGCGUGACUCGAACGUAUCCCACACGGCCCUCGCACUGCCUGCUGGUGGAGGCACAGCCUGCGCGACCGCGAGGAGAUGCACUGGGUGGCGACCAGCACAAUGGGUGGCGCGGCUGUGCGGCGGAAGGGGGAGAGUAGAGUUUUGCGUAGGGGCGGUGCUGGGAUGACUGAGUCGGCGCAUUGCUGUAACACGUUUGUCUAGCGCUGCCUCGCCCCACGCGGAUGGGGCCUGUGACAGGCCCUGAGGUGAGCUGAGUGGGGUCUCACUCAUGCUGUGCGGCAGAGAUGGCGGGCACCUUGACGGAAAGGAAGCUGUGCGUAUGUGGUCUGCGGCGCGCGAGCGUAGCGUAACCGCCUCGAGUUC